rnacentral:rRNA from 1 species
GCACAAGCGGCGGAGCAUGCGGAUUAAUUCGAUGCAACGCGAAGAACCUUACCAAGGCUUGACAUACACCGGUAACGCCCAGAGAUGGGUGCCCCUUUGUGGUCGGUGGACAGGUGGUGCAUGGUUGUCGUCAGCUCGUGUCGUGAGAUGUUGGGUUAAGUCCCGCAACGAGCGCAACCCUCGUCCUAUGUUGCCAGCGGGUCAUGCCGGGGACUCAUGGGAGACUGCCAGGGUCAACUCGGAGGAAGGUGGGGAUGACGUCAAAUCAUCAUGCCCCUUAUGUCUUGGGCUUCACGCAUGCUACAAUGGCCGGUACAAAGGGCUGCGAUACCGCGAGGUGGAGCGAAUCCCAGAAAGCCGGUCUCAGUUCGGAUUGGGGUCUGCAACUCGACCCCAUGAAGUCGGAGUCGCUAGUAAUCGCAGAUCAGCAACGCUGCGGUGAAUACGUUCCCGGGCCUU